rnacentral:rRNA from 1 species
GGGGAAUAUUGGACAAUGGGCGAAAGCCUGAUCCAGCCAUGCCGCGUGUGUGAAGAAGGCCUUUUGGCUGUAAAGCACUUUAAGUGGGGAGGAAAAGCUUGUGGUUAAUACCCAUAAGCCCUGACGUUACCCACAGAAUAAGCACCGGCUAACUCUGUGCCAGCAGCCGCGGUAAUACAGAGGGUGCAAGCGUUAAUCGGAAUUACUGGGCGUAAAGCGCGCGUAGGUGGUUAUUUAAGUCAGAUGUGAAAGCCCCGGGCUUAACCUGGGAACUGCAUCUGAUACUGGAUAACUAGAGUAGGUGAGAGGGGAGUAGAAUUCCAGGUGUAGCGGUGAAAUGCGUAGAGAUCUGGAGGAAUACCGAUGGCGAAGGCAGCUCCCUGGCAUCAUACUGACACUGAGGUGCGAAAGCGUGGGUAGCAAACAGGAUUAGAUACCCUGGUAGUCCACGCCGUAAACGAUGUCUACCAGUCGUUGGGUCUUUUAAAGACUUAGUGACGCAGUUAACGCAAUGAGUAGACCGCCUGGGGAGUACGGCCGCAAGGUUA